GACAGAGGAUGCAAGCGUUAUCCGGAAUGAUUGGCGUAAAGCGUCUGUAGGUGGCUUUCAAGUCCGCCGUCAAAUCCCAGGGCUCAACCCUGGACAGGCGGUGGAAACUACCAAGCUGGAGUACGGUAGGGGCAGGAGGAAUUUCCGGGUUGGAGCGGUGAAAUGACAUUGAGAUUCGGAAAGAACAACCAACGGCGAAAG
rnacentral:rRNA from 1 species